GGGUUGUGAGGUUAAGCGAAUAAGCGUACACGGUGGAUGCCCUGGCAGUCAGAGGCGAUGAAGGACGUGCUAAUCUGCGAAAAGCGUCGGUAAGGUGAUAUGAACCGUUAUAGCCGGCGAUGUCCGAAUGGGGAAACCCAGUGUGAUUCGUCACACUAUCGUUAACUGAAUACAUAGGUUAACGAGGCGAACCGGGGGAACUGAAACAUCUAAGU
rnacentral:rRNA from 1 species